rnacentral:rRNA from 1 species
CCUACGGGAGGCAGCAGUAAGGAAUAUUGGACAAUGGGCGGAAGCCUGAUCCAGCCAUGCCGCGUGAAGGAUGAAGGCGCUCAGCGUUGUAAACUUCUUUUGGAUGGGAACAAUAACUCUGACUUGUCAGAGCUUGAGGGUACCAUCAGAAUAAGCACCGGCUAACUCCGUGCCAGC